GACGAACGCUGGCGGCGUGCUUAACACAUGCAAGUCGAACGGAAAGGCCCUGCUUGCAGGGUGCUCGAGUGGCGAACGGGUGAGUAACACGUGGGUGAUCUGCCCCUUACUUUGGGAUAAGCCUGGGAAACUGGGUCUAAUACUGGAUAGGACCAUGCUGUAGGUGGUGUGGUGGAAAGAUUAGUUUCGGUAAGGGAUGAGCUCGCGGCCUUUCAGCUUGUUGGUGGGGUAAUGGCCUACCAAGGCGUCGACGGGUAGCCGGCCUGAGAGGGUGGACGGCCACAUUGGGACUGAGAUACGGCCCAGACUCCUACGGGAGGCAGCAGUGGGGAAUAUUGCACAAUGGGCGCAAGCCUGAUGCAGCGACGCCGCGUGGGGGAUGACGGCCUUCGGGUUGUAAACUCCUUUCAGCCAUGACGAAGCCCUUGUGGUGACGGUAGUGGUAGAAGAAGCACCGGCUAACUACGUG
rnacentral:rRNA from 1 species